UCAUUCAAAAGCAAGAACUGGACAUAACAUUCUCAUCCAAGAACUGCUGAUUUCACCACAGAAAACCAAGGCAGAUACAUCUGGAAGUCUUGGACCUGCUAACAGAAGACAAGGAAAUCUAACCUCCAGGAAGAAUUUGUUCUAUGACCCAGCUAGCUAACUUACAAAGGACUAACACACAAAUGUCUAGACACCUUCAGCAAGACAGGCAAAAUGUGCAGCUGGGUCCUUGGAAAUCAUCUGCUGUUCUAAUCUGAAUCACAAUAAAACCAGUAAGCUGAAGCUGUCGGUCAAAGAUACUGCUACUUCCAUGAAGUGAUAACUGGGUUGCCUUCAGCAAGGCACUGGCACUGUAUCUGUCACUUCUUUUAAGGUAUCACUCUGUCAGGACAGCACAGGACAUUACCCCCGUGGGUUUUGCUUUAAACACUGACACAUGGUCACAAGCACACAAAAUAAAACAAUGAAAUGUAGAACAAGUUCCUCACAACUCAGUAAAACAACACAACACUGAAAUGCUUUUGUCUCUAAAAUAAAAUAAUCCUCAGA